rnacentral:rRNA from 1 species
UUCCGCAAUGGACGAAAGUCUGACGGAGCAACGCCGCGUGAGUGAUGAAGGUUUUCGGAUCGUAAAACUCUGUUGUUAGGGAAGAACAAGUACCGUUCGAAUAGGGCGGUACCUUGACGGUACCUAACCAGAAAGCCACGGCUAACUUCGUGCCAGCAGCCGCGGUAAUACGAAGGGGGCUAGCGUUGUUCGGAAUUACUGGGCGUAAAGCGUGCGCAGGCGGUUUUGUAAGACAGAGGUGAAAUCCCCGGGCUCAAUCUGGGAACUGCCUUUGUGACUGCAAGGCUAGAGUACGGCAGAGGGGGAUGGAAUUCCGCGUGUAGCAGUGAAAUGCGUAGAUAUGCGGAGGAACACCGAUGGCGAAGGCAAUCCCCUGGGCCUGUACUGACGCUCAUGCACGAAAGCGUGGGGAGCAAACAGGAUUAGAUACCCUGGUAGUCCACGCCCUAAACGAUGUCAACUGGUUGUUGGGUCUUCACUGACUCAGUAACGAAGCUAACGCGUGAAGUUGACCGCCUGGGGAGUACG